GAACCACCUGAUCCCAUCCCGAACUCAGCAGUGAAACCGCUCAGCGCCGAUGGUAGUGUGGGGUCUCCCCAUGUGAGAGUAGGUCAUCGUCAGGC
rnacentral:rRNA from 1 species